rnacentral:ncRNA from 2 species
AAGACGGGACAGGGGAGCGCCCACGAGGCGCUGAGAGUGCGGCAUCGCCCGCAGACCCUCGGAACCUGAUCUGGUUCGUACCAGCGAAGGGAGUCCACGCCGCGACCUC